CGCGUAGGUGGCCUGAUAAGUAGGGGGUGAAAUCUCACGGCUCAACCGGGAGGCUGCCUUCUAGACUGUCGGGCUCGAGCAUGGUAGAGGCUGGUGGAAUUCCCGGUGUAGCGGUGGAAUGCGUAGAGAUCGGGAAGAACAUCGGUGGCGAAGGCGGCCAGCUGGGCCAUUGCUGACACUGAUGCGCGAAAGCGUGGGAGCAAACA
rnacentral:rRNA from 1 species